rnacentral:rRNA from 1 species
UACGUAGGGGGCUAGCGUUGUCCGGAAUCAUUGGGCGUAAAGAGCGUGUAGGCGGCCCGGUAAGUCCGCUGUAAAAGUCAAAGGCUCAACCUUUGAAUGUCAGUGGAUACUGCCGGGCUAGAGUCCGGAAGAGGCGAGUGGAACUCCUGGUCGUAGCGGUGGGAAUGCGCAGAUAUCGAGGAAAACACCGGUGGCGAAGGCGGCUCUCUGGCCUACUGACGCUGAGGAGCGAAAGCGUGGGUAGCGAACAGG